rnacentral:rRNA from 1 species
GUAGUCUGCAACUCGACUACAUGAAGCUGGAAUCGCUAGUAAUCGCGAAUCAGAAUGUCGCGGUGAAUACGUUCCCGGGUCUUGUACACACCGCCCGUCACACCAUGGGAGUCAGUAACGCCGAAGCCGGUGACCCAACCAAUUCAGGAGGGAGCCGUCGAAGGUGGGACCGAUAACUGGGGUGAAGUCGUAACAAGGUAAC